rnacentral:rRNA from 1 species
GACGAAUGCUGGCGGCGUGCUUAACACAUGCAAGUCGAACGGAAAGGCCCCUUUGGGGGUACUCGAGUGGCGAACGGGUGCGUAACACGUGAGUAACCUGCCCUUGACUUCGGGAUAACUUCAGGAAACUGGGGCUAAUACCGGAUAGGAAUCCUUGCUGCAUGGUGGGGGUUGGAAAGCUUCGGCGGCUUUGGAUGGACUCGCGGCUUAUCAGCUUGUUGGUGGGGUAGUGGCUUACCAAGGCUUUGACGGGUAGCCGGCCUGAGAGAGCGACCGGCCACAUUGGGACUGAGAUACGGCCCAGACUCCUACGGGAGGCAGCAGUGGGGAAGAUUGAACAAUGGGCGGAAGCCUGAUGCAGCAACGCCGCGUGCGGGAUGACGGCCUUCGGGUUGUAAACCGCUUUCAGCAGGGGCGAAGCUUGUGGUGACGGUACCUGCAGAAGAAGCACCGGCUAACUACGUG